AAUACACCCAUUUGUAAGUCGCUCUGGAUAAGAGCGUCUGCUAAAUGACUUAAA
rfam:Salmo salar isolate Sally breed double haploid chromosome ssa21, whole genome shotgun sequence.